ACAGCGCUGAUGGGGAGUUCCUGUUCAAGUUCGGCUCUCAUGGCGAAGGGAACGGCCAAUUCAACGCUCCCACUGGCGUUGCUGUGGAUGCCAAUGGAAACAUCAUUGUAGCUGACUGGGGUAACAGCAGAAUACAGGUGUUUGACAGCACGGGGUCCUUCUUAUCCUACAUUAACACUUCGGCAGACCCGCUGUACGGCCCCCAGGGCCUAGCGCUCACCUCAGAUGGACACGUGGCUGUUGCAGACUCUGGCAAUCAUUGCUUUAAAGUUUACAGAUAUCUGCAGUAGACUGAGGGGGAGAUGUCGCCGCUGCCACCAACUCCGGCUUUAAAAAUCAAUGUCACAUAUUUCUUGCAGAGAAAAAGUUGUAACAUGCCUGCACACUUCCCAGAGGCUCCAUGUCUACAAAUUAAUUUCCUGUUCAUUUUGUCUGUAAAUACUUCAAGGAUUUAAUAUCCAGAGUUUAAGAACAAGAAAUGAUAUUAAGAACGAACUUCCAAAACAUGCAAUUUUAAUGUUUUCAAAGACAAAAUUGGCUAGAUAUCACCAAAACUACUGACUACUGCAAGAAUAGAAAACAUAAUUACUGAAACGGCAGUGAGCUCUUGGAUUACUUCUAUUUUAAAAAACAAUCAAUCAGGUAAACAUAUCUCAUAUAGAGACUUUCAAAUACUUGCGUUUUUUUUUUAAAGAAUGUGAGAUAGGGGCAUGAAAUGACUCCAUACUUUCAACAGCCUCUGCUCACCUAUACACCUGCAAAGUUAGAUGACUACUACUACUCUUGUACAGUCGUGUUGCUGUUACAUGGCAAAAUAGGUCUAUAGACAGACAUGCAUACAUCAAAAACACCUAAACAAUCAAUUAGGCAUGUCUAUAUUUUGUCAUUCUUGGUUUGUCUAACUUUAACUUUCCAUAAAGCUGAGCUAUAAUGCUUCUCUCCACCUCAUGUUUUUAUUCUCGGACUCAACUAGAGUAGCUUUGCAUGAUUCUGUCUGAAACAAGCUGUUUUAGGUUGAGGUUUGAGGUGGGCUUUAUCAGCAGAUGGGCAGUGUUGCGCUUCUCACAGAGCUGCGUGCCUGAAAAUCAGUCAUUCAAUUUUGGUACCUAAAAAAUUCAGCUUAAUGACUUGAAAUGUCAAGUUAUUGAGUGAAACAGAGUGCUUUAGGCAACUAGAAGCCUGAGCUGUUAGCGCAUGGGAAUUAUUUGCACAAACACUUGGCUAAAUUUGUGAUUAGAAUCAAUGUCACAGUAAAGAAAAAAGUUUGUGUGUGUGUAUGAAUGACAUAUAUUAGGUAUAAGUAUAAUAGUUUACUUUGAUUGGCUUUGAGCCUAAAACUAACCAAUUAUCGACAGGAAAAAAUGAACAGGAAAUUAACCCCUGGCUCAAAGGCCUUUUAGCUCUAUUCCCCAAGUGUAUCUUCACAGCCUGUCAGUCUUAAAUUGUUUUGUUUUGGCAAUGCAGAUGGGCAACACUCAUUAUCCAGGAAACAAGGCAACGCAAUGAAGAUUCCCUGUUUCCUGAAAGGAACAUGAUGCUUUAUGAGUAAAAAAAUGCUCAGGUCUUUCCUUGAACAACGUUGCAUGUUCGUGUGCUCUGAAAAUGAUCUCCUUGUCACUGCCUUACAAUAUUCAUCAGCGAACUCUGCAGAAACUUCAGGAAUGUAUUGUUUUAAAAGGAACUGCUUAUCAUUCUCAUUCUGCACCUUAUCAGUCUGACAUGAUCACUGCACAAUUAAAAUUAUUCUUAUCAUUUUUUUUUAUUAUUAUUUCUGUUUAGCCAUAAGAUGAGUUUACGUAUAUGCAAGUUGUUUCAUUUUGGGAUCCAAAGACAAGCAUCAAAAAGCACAGUAGUUUAAAAAAAAAGGCUAUAUAUCUGAACCAGCUCCCCUUCACCCUAAAGUCGGAGCCCUACUAGCAAAACAAAAUAAUAGUAACUAGUCCUUGCACUUUCGUAUAUUCAUACCUACAAUUCACUGUAGUUGUGCAUAUGCAUAUUUACACGUAUGUAUAUAUUUAUAUAUAUAUAUAUGGAUUUGGUGUCUAUAUAGCCUACAUAUUCCAGCACUUAAACAGAAACAAGGUCACGCCAAGUAGUUAACUGAAUGAAUGAAACAUCAGUGGAACAAAGUUGUAAUAAUUAUUUGCUGUAUUCUUUUUUUUUUUUCCUUUUUGCAAAAGAAUUUAUUUAUUUAAAAAUUUCUUUUCUACAUAAUUUGUUUGACAAAUUAUUUUUCUAAUUGGUCGGUUUGAACCUUCUCCUCCUCUUUGCCAAACUUAGCUAUACCAUUGUAACUUGUAGCACUCAAAGCUGUUUUCUGUUUUUGACUCUUCCCGGUCAAACAGUGACAUUUCCUUCUGCCAAAACCUAUUGUUGUAAGUUGCUGUUGAACAUUGCACAGAAUACAAAUAAUGAGAGUUAUAUAGUUUGCAAGAGUAAUAUAUGCCUCUAUGUAUAGUUCAUUUUGACAUAAUCAGAACAUGUACUGUAUAUUACAAUCAUAUUCCUGUUGUAGCUGACAAGCACUUUUAUCGUGGAUUUUCCAGGAUUUGUAUUCAUUUGCUCUGUAGUUCAAUGUUUAGAGGCUUUUGUUUUUUGUGCGUGUGACUCUUACAAAAACAACACCAGCUAAUAUGCAGUGACACAAAAUCAUCUCUCACCUGUGUUUUAGAAAUACUGUCUGUCCCCCAGUACUGACUCAUUCUGAUUUUCCAUCUGCAUUUCCUAUUUAUUGGAAAACUGACAGAUUGAGCUAAACUUCCCUUCUCAUUAGACUGUAUUUAUUCUUUUGGUUGUUGCUUUUAACUGUCAGAGACAUGUGGGGGGGAAACUGAAGCACACAGUAUUAAUAAAAUUACAUCAACUUGUGCGUAUACAACUGUGUACUACAAGAGGCCAUUUACAAGUAAUCAGUCCGUUCAUGUAUCACGGGGAAGGUAUGAUUGUAAAUUAAAGAAUGACUAAACUA